UUUAUUGUUUGGUUAUCUUAUCUCGUUGAUUGCAUUUGGAUAGUUGUGGAUAGACAUGUAGAGCAGGCUUGCAUUUGUACUUUGCAUCUCUGUGGACCUUGGGUCCAGGCAACACAUCGACUCUCUUGUCAUGUGUUUCGAUCUGGUUGAUCGUGGCUCGGCAUUGUACGCCUUUGUUUCUGGCUUCGUUCUAGGCACCGGCUUUAGCCGGUUUUUGUUUGAGCAUACUAGCAUGACUUAGUCACAACACUUGGGGGUAUUCAUGACACCGGAUCGGUUUGGCCACCGAUCGGAGGUGUACUUAUCCGGAUGGGUCGUCCUGUGGGGCGGAUGGAUCAGGUCGGUGCAGAUAGUGACAGGCAGCGCUUGAGGUCUACGGACCAAUAUAGCAGGCACA
rnacentral:lncRNA from 1 species